AGCAGCCGCGGUAAUUCCAGCUCCAAUAGCGUAUAUUAAAGUUGUUGCAGUUAAAAAGCUCGUAGUUGAAUUUCGGGGUCAGUAGGUUGGUCGUGCCACCGGUACGUACUGGUCUCACUGAUUCCUCCUUCCUGAUGAGCUGUAAUGCCAUUAAUUUGGUGUUGCAGGGAAUCUGGACUGUUACUUUGAAAAAAUUAGAGUGUUUAAAGCAGGCUAACGCUUGAAUACAUUAGCAUGGAAUAAUGAAAUAGGACGUUCGAUCCUAUUUCGUUGGUUUCUAGGAUUGACGUAAUGAUUAAUAGGAUAGUUGGGGCUAUUAGUAUUCAAUUGUCAGUAGGUAGUAAA
rnacentral:rRNA from 1 species